GCCUACGGGGGGCAGCAGUGGGGGAUAUUGCACAAUGGGGGGAACCCUGAUGCAGCGACGCCGCGUGGGUGAAGGAGCGUUUCGGCGCGUAAAGCCCUAUCGGCAGGGAAGAAGAUGACGGUACCUGACCAAGAAGCCCCGGCUAACUACGUGCCAGCAGCCGCGGUAAUACGUAGGGGGCAAGCGUUAUCCGGCUUUACUGGGUGUAAAGGGGGCGCAGACGGCACUGCAAGCCAGGAGUGAAAGCCCGGGGCCCAACCCCGGGACUGCUCUCGGAACAUCCUGGCCGGAGUACAGGA
rnacentral:rRNA from 1 species